rnacentral:tRNA from 1 species
GAGGGUAUAGCCUCAGUGGUAGAGCACAUGCUUAGCAUGCAUGAGGUUCUGGGUUCAAUCCCCGGUACCUCCA